rnacentral:rRNA from 1 species
AUACGUAGGGAGCAAGCGUUGUCCGGAUUUACUGGGUGUAAAGGGUGCGUAGGCGGCUUUGCAAGUCAGGUGUGAAACCUAUGGGCUUAACUCAUAGAUUGCACUUGAAACUGUGGAGCUUGAGUGAAGUAGAGGCAGGCGGAAUUCCCGGUGUAGCGGUGAAAUGCGUAGAGAUCGGGAGGAACACCAGUGGCGAAGGCGGCCUGCUGGGCUUUAACUGACGCUGAGGCACGAAAGCAUGGGUAGCAAACAGGAUUAGAUACCCUGGUAGUCCAUGCCGUAAACGAUGAUUACUAGGUGUGGGGGGUCUGACCCCUUCCGUGCCGGAGUUAACACAAUAAGUAAUCCACCUGGGAAGUACGACCGCAAGGUUGAA